AUACUACUCCCUCCGUCCGAAAAUACUUGUCAUCAAAAUGAAUAAAAGGGAAUGUAUCUAGAUGUAUUUUAGUUCUACAUACAUUCAUUUUUGUCCAUUUUGAUGACAAGUAUUUUCGGACGGAGGGAGUAGUUG
rnacentral:pre_miRNA from 1 species